rnacentral:rRNA from 1 species
AUUCCAGCUCCAAUAGCGUAUAUUAAAGUUGUUGCAGUUAAAAAGCUCGUAGUUGGAUUUCUGUUUUUCUUCCCUUUCCCUCUUCCCCUUUUUUCUUGUGUGCCUGCUGUGCGUCUGCUAUCCUUCUAGAAAACGUUCGUACCCUUCACUGGGCCGCGUUCGAGAUCUAGAUCUUUUACUUUGAAAAAAUUAGAGUGUUUAAAGCAGGCAGUUGCUAUGAAUACAUUAGCAUGGAAUAAUAAUCUAGGACUUCGGUUCUAUUUUGUUGGUUUCUAGUACUGAAGUAAUGAUUGAUAGGGAUAGUUGGGGGUGCUAGUAUUGAGCGGCCAGAGGUGAAAUUCUUGGAUUCGCUCAAGACUAACUUAUGCGAAAGCAUUCACCAAGGAUGUCUUCAUCG